UGGACAGAUUAUUGUAUUCGACUGUAUUCACGGCAUGAAACAGGGGAUUACACUAUUUUUAAACGGAAAGUGAAUCAAUUAACAUAAUAGACUCCU
rnacentral:pre_miRNA from 1 species